GCCGGAGUAACUCAGAGGCAGAGUAGCUAUUUCGUAAAUAGCAAGUCGUGGGUUCGAUUCCCUCCUCCGGCUCAA
rnacentral:tRNA from 1 species